CAGCAGCCGCGGGAAUACGGAGGGUGCAAGCGUUAAUCGGAAUUACUGGGCGUAAAGCGCACGCAGGCGGUCUGACAAGUCAGAUGUGAAAUCCCCGGGCUUAACCUGGGAACUGCAUUUGUAACUGUCAGGCUGGAGUCUUGUAGAGGGGGGUGGAAUUCCAGGUGUAGCGGUGAAAUGCGUAGAGAUCUGGAGGAAUACCGGUGGCGAAGGCGGCCCCCUGGACAAAGACUGACGCUCAGGUGCGAAAGCGUGGGGAGCAAACAGGAUUAGAUAUCCCGGUAGUCCCUGUCUCUUAUAC
rnacentral:rRNA from 1 species